rnacentral:lncRNA from 12 species
UGAGCAUAUAGUUAGUUGCCUUACUGUAAUUUUGGAAAAUCCACUCACUUAAAUAUCCCAUUGCUGAACAUGCAGACUGCAUACAAAGCAAGAGUCUAGCAGGAAAAAAAAAAAAAAAUUGUCACCAUGUGACAAUUCGACCUUGCCCUCAAGGAUUGCAUCUGGCUGGGGAGUCAUUAGAUCUAUACCCUGCAUUGGAUCUAUGUAUGUUAAGGGCAGAACGCCAUGAAGUUUCAAAGGAGACUGUGAUUAUAAACAAAUGGGGAAAAUCGAGAAAGGCUUUAUGAGAGACUGGUGGAAUUUUGAUGGAGCAAGAGGAUGGAAGGGAUGCUACAUAUGGGAGUGAGCCCCGCGGAGAAGCCAGAGGAAAGAACCGCCCAGGCUGACGGCGAUACACACUGUGGACACUUCGGAUCUAUAAUGAGCUUGAAAUGCAGCAGAAUCCACACAGAAAACAUUCAAAGAAAGGUGAAGUUUCCCUUUGAGCCCAGGAGGGCAGAAGUCUCAUCAGCCAUUAAAUGCAGCUUUACUCUUAUUCAAAUUGCAAGAUUUCCUCCAUCAUGCCCAAUUUCACUGUGUACAGAUCGAAUGCCUGAAUGAGGUACGUCGGAGGAUACAUACAGCAUUGUGAAUGUACGUGCAAAUUAUAGAAUCACAGGAUUGUCCUUCGCUGUCCGGAAUCCUUGUGAUAAGUUUAGAUCUGUUCUACACACUCAAAUACUGUGCUUGUAGAGGAAAGCUGAUUCCAUUUUUCCAAUUCUACUUUUUUCUCUGACAGUUUGAAUACAUACAACUUUAGGGGAAUAUAUUAAAGAGUAAAUAUAAUGAAAUUGAAACUUUGGGGGUUACAUUUCUAAUAAAGUAUAAUGUAUAGUAAUUAAUUUACUUAGC